rnacentral:rRNA from 1 species
UACACACCGCCCGUCACACCAUGGGAGUCUAUUGCACCAGAAGUAGGUAGCCUAACGAAAGAGGGCGCUUACCACGGUGUGGUCGAUGACUGGGGUG